rnacentral:rRNA from 1 species
CCUACGGGAGACAGCAGUGGGGGAUAUUGCACAAUGGGGGGAACCCUGAUGCAGCGACGCCGCGUGGGUGAAGGAGUAUCUCGGUAUGUAAAGCCCUAUCGGCAGGGAAGAAUUUAGACGGUACCUGACUAAGAAGCCCCGGCGAACUACGUGCCAGCAGCCGCGGUAAUUCGUAGGGGGCAAGCGUUAUCCGGAUUCACUGGGUGGAAAGGGAGCGUAGACGGCCAGGCAAGCCUGGAGUGAAAGCCCGGGGCCCAACCCCGGGACUGCUCUGGGAACUGUCCGGCCGGAGUGCGGGAGGGGCAGGCGGAAUUCGUGGUGGAGCGGUGAAAUGCGUAGAUAUCAGGAGGAACACCGGCGGCGAAGGCGGCCUGCUGGACCGCGACUGACGUUGAGGCUCGAAAGCGUGGGGAGCGAACAGGAUUAGAUACCCCAGUAGUC